GCAGACUCACUCUGUUCUUUGCUGUGCACUCCAGCAUUGAACUUUUUCUGUCUGCUACAUGAACAUGCAGGAUGUACCACUUUACUGGCCUUCUAAAAGGCUGGUGUCGGUAUGAUCUGCUACAUACUG
rnacentral:snoRNA from 1 species